rnacentral:rRNA from 1 species
UACGGAAGGCAGCAGUGGGGAAUAUUGCACAAUGGGCGCAAGCCUGAUGCAGCCAUGCCGCGUGUAUGAAGAAGGCCUUCGGGUUGUAAAGUACUUUCAGUCGUGAGGAAGGUGUUAAGGUUAAUAACCUUAGCAAUUGACGUUAGCGACAGAAGAAGCACCGGCUAACUCCGUGCCAGCAGCCGCGAUAAUACGGAGGGUGCGAGCGUUAAUCGGAAUUACUGGGCGUAAAGGGCACGCAGGCGGUUAAUUAAGUUGGAUGUGAAAUCCCCGGGCUUAACCUGGGAAUGGCAUUCAAGACUGGUUAGCUAGAGUCUUGUAGAGGGGGUAGAAUUCCAUGUGUAGCGGUGAAAUGCGUAGAGAUGUGGAGGAAUACCGGUGGCGAAGGCGGCCCCUGGGACAAAGACUGACGCUCAUGUGCGAAAGCGUGGGGAGCAAACAGGAUUAGAUACC